UCCUCUAUUUAUCCACAGGACAGAUAUAGAACAGAUAGCAACAGUUGAAACUCUACUGCACUUUUCUAUCAAUAUGCCUCAAACAUGUUCUGGAGGGCCCAUUAUUCUUUAUACUCAGUCAACCAUCAUAUGAAAGGAGGCAG
ensembl:misc_RNA